rnacentral:lncRNA from 1 species
CAAGGGAGUGACGUGAUUGCAUUUUCAGUCCUAAUUCAUUCAGGGUUCUAUGAGAAGAAAAGAAUAAGGGAUAGGGCAAGAAUGGGCAAAAUGGACAUGGCACAGGAAUCAGAACCCCACUUCUGGCUAUAGGAAGUUUGAUAUUCAAGUAGAAAUAUAAAGUAGUUAAUUGGGAGUUAGUAUCAUAGAGAAAGUUCUGGACUAGAUAUUAUAAAAACAUUCAGACAGGCACACAAAAAAUACACUUGUGUACACUCACAUCUCUUUCAGAUAGAUAUGUAAAUGUAUAUAUAGAUGGAUGGAUGGAUCACCUGAGGUCACUUGCCAGCUGUACAAUUAAAAUAUCUUAAUUUUGGCAGCAUCGUUGGUAUGAUGGUACAUGAGUAACUCUUUAAUUUUUUAAAAUGUUCUGUAGCUAUUAAAUGAAGAAGUGCUUAGUCACAGUCGCCUGCUGGAGACCAUUGAAGUCAAAAGAGCAAGCAUGACAGAGCACUAUGUCACCCAGUUAGAAGUCCAAGAUCUGCAAGAGCGAUACCUAGCAAUCAAAGAGAGGGCCAAGGAAGCAGUAACCAAGUCUGAAAAACUUGUUCGCCUGCACCAAGAGUAUCAGAGAGACCUAAAAGCCUUUGAAGUUUGGCUGGGACAAGAACAAGAAAAGCUUGGCCGAUAUUCAGUUCUUGAAGGUGAUGCCCACACUCACGAGACAACAUUUCGGGACCUUCAGGUAAAGUCUACUUUACCCUAAACAAAGGAUCCUUCCUUCUGAAUAUGGAUUUAUUAUUUUAAGCAACGAGAAGCUAAUAUGACCUUGAAUCCUAUAGAAAGCUGAUAGUUAGUUAGUUAGUUAGUUAGUACUGGGGAUUGAGCCCAGGGCCUAUGCACCAAGCUACACCGUCAGCCCUGUAUUUACUUAGAAAUAUCAUCUGGCUAAGUUGUUAAAUUGCCCGGCUGGGCUUGGAUUGCAGUCCUCCUGCCUCACUG